CACACCAUUGCCGUGGCGAGGACGGCAAGAUCCCUGGCGGGGACCUACUCCGAAUCGGGGUAUGAAAUCAGUGUCCCAGUCGCUGUGGCGGGG
rnacentral:tRNA from 1 species